GCGUCCCUGCUGUGUCCGUGAUCGCCGACAGGGGUUUGAGCCAACACCUAUAGUAACGGGGGCUGGCUCUUCAGUAGGGGAUGCGAUAGCCUUCGGGCAAGGCAGAACCGCUGAGCAGGCUCCCACCUGAGCGGACAGGUUCAAACCGAAUCGGCACACGACACAGCGGGGGGCGA
rnacentral:other from 1 species